AUGGGGGUGGAAAUCCUGAGCUCCAUGGUGGAGGACUCAUCCCAGUACUCUUCCGGCGCGUCCACGGCCACGACGGAGUCAGGCACCACGGGAAGAGCACCGACGGCUCUGAGCCUACCAGUCGCCAUCGCCGACGAGUCCGUGACCUCGGCGCAGUCGGCGCCGUCGCGGUUCAAGGGCGUGGUGCCUCAGCCCAACGGGCGGUGGGGUUCCCAGAUCUACGAGCGCCACGCUCGCGUCUGGCUCGGCACGUUCCCGGACCAGGACUUGGCGGCACGCGCCUACGACGUAGCCGCGCUCAGGUACCGCGGCCGCGAUGCCGCCACCAACUUCCCGUGCGCGGCCGCGGAGGCGGAGCUCGCCUUCCUGGGGGCGCACUCCAAGGCCGAGAUCGUCGACAUGCUCCGGAAGCACACCUACGCCGACGAGCUCCGCCAGGGUCUGCGACGCGGCCGCGGCAUGGGGGCGCGCGCGCAGCCGACGCCAUCGUGGGCGCGGGAGCCCCUCUUCGAGAAGGCCGUGACCCCAAGCGAUGUCGGCAAGCUCAAUCGCCUCGUGGUGCCGAAGCAACACGCCGAGAAGCACUUCCCUCUGAAGCGCACCCCGGAGAGGACGACCACCACCGGCAACGGCGUGCUGCUCAACUUUGAGGACGGUGAGGGGAAGGUGUGGAGGUUCCGGUACUCGUAUUGGAACAGCAGCCAGAGCUACGUGCUCACAAAGGGCUGGAGUCGCUUCGUCCGGGAGAAGGGCCUCGCUGCCGGCGACUCCAUCAUCUUCUCGUGCUCGGCGUACGGCCAGGAGAAGCAGCUCUUCAUCGACUGCAAGAAGAAUACGACCGUCAACAGCGGCAAAUCGGCGUCGCCGCUGCCAGUGGUGGAGACUGCCAAAGGAGAACAAGUCCGCGUCGUUAGGCUGUUCGGUGUCGACAUCGCCGGAGUGAAGAGGGGGCGAGCGGCGACGGCGGAGCAAGGCCCGCCGGAGUUGCUCAAGAGGCAAUGCGUUCCACUUCCACACGGUCAGCGCUCUCCUGCCCUAGGUGCUUUCGUCUUAUAG
rnacentral:rRNA from 1 species